UUGUUUUAUUCUUUUCUUGUGAGUUUUUAGUGUCAUGUCGAGGGGGGAGGUCUUGUCUAGAUAGCUAUUUCCACUUUUGAGUCUUUUCUUCACUUCAUACUUGAGGGCAAGUAUGAUUCAAGUGUGGGGGAUUUGAUGGGUGUGUUUUAGUUAUUUAUAUUCGUGUUGUUUGCCAUGGAUUAUAUUCGAUAUUACCCAUGUUGUGGUGCUUUUGGCGCAGGAAUUAGAUGGAUUGGAGAUGGAUCUCGUGGAUG
rnacentral:lncRNA from 1 species